rnacentral:rRNA from 1 species
AGUGAACGCUGGCGGUAGGCCUAACACAUGCAAGUCGAACGGCAGCACAGUAAGAGCUUGCUCUUACGGGUGGCGAGUGGCGGACGGGCGAGGAAUACAUCGGAAUCUACUUUUUCGUGGGGGAUAACGUAGGGAAACUUACGCUAAUACCGCAUACGACCUACGGGUGAAAGCAGGGGACCUUCGGACCUUGCGCGAUUGAAUGAGCGGAUGUCGGAUUAGCUAGUUGGCGGGGUAAAGGCCCACCAAGGCGACGACCCGUAGCUGGUCUGAGAGGAUGAUCAGCCACACUGGAACUGAGACACGGUCCAGACUCCUACGGGAGGCAGCAGUGGGGAAUAUUGGACAAUGGGCGCGAGCCUGAUCCAGCCAUACCGCGUGAGUGAAGAAGGCCUUCGGGUUGUAAAGCCCUUUUGUUGGGAAAGAAAAGCAGCAGGUUAAUACCCCGCUGUUCUGACGGUACCCAAAGAAUAAGCACCGGCUAACUUCGUG